rnacentral:rRNA from 1 species
AACGAACGCUGGCGGCAUGCCUAACACAUGCAAGUCGAACGAGACCUUCGGGUCUAGUGGCGCACGGGUGCGUAACGCGUGGGAACCUGCCCUUAGGUUCGGAAUAACUCCCCGAAAGGGGUGCUAAUACCGGAUAAUGUCUUCGGACCAAAGAUUUAUCGCCUUUGGAUGGGCCCGCGUUGGAUUAGCUAGUUGGUAGGGUAAAAGCCUACCAAGGCGACGAUCCAUAGCUGGUCUGAGAGGAUGAUCAGCCACACUGGGACUGAGACACGGCCCAGACUCCUACGGAAGGCAGCAGUGGGGAAUAUGGGACGAUGGGCGAAAGCCUGAUCCAGCAAUGCCGCGUGAGUGAUGAAGGCCUUAGGAUUGUAAAGCUCUUUUACCCGGGAUGAUAAUGACAGUACCGGAAGAAUAAGCUCCGGCUAACUCCGUG